AACGAACGCUGGCGGCAUGCCUAACACAUGCAAGUCGAACGAGACCUUCGGGUCUAGGGGCGCACGGGUGCGUAACGCGUGGGAACCUGCCCUUAGGUUCGGAAUAACUCCCCGAAAGGGGUGCUAAUACCGGUUAAUGUCUUCGGACCAAAGAGUUGUCGCCUUUUGAUGGGCCCGCGUUGGAUUAGCUAGUUGGUAGGGUAAAAGCCUACCAAGGCGACGAUGGGUAGCUGGUCUGAGAGGAUGACCAGCCACACUGGGACGGAGAUACGGCCCAGACUCCUACGGGACGCAGCACUGGGGAAUAGUGCACUAUGGACGGAAGCCGGAUGCAACAACGCCGCGUGCGGUAUGACGGCCUUCGGGUUGUAAACCACAUUCGCCGGUGACGAAGCGUGAAUGACGGUAAUGGGUAAAGAAGCACCGGCUAACUACGUG
rnacentral:rRNA from 1 species